AUUGAACGCUAGCGGGAUGCCUUACACAUGCAAGUCUAACGGAUUUUCUAACGGGUGAGUAAUUUAUCUUAACUUUCCCAGUAUCGGGGGAUAACUACGCGAAAGCGUAGCUAAUACCGCAUACUAUUGGAGCGGCCGAUGUCGGAUUAGCUCGCGGGUGGGGUAACGGCUCACCAAGGCGACGAUCCGUAGCCGGUUUGAGAGGACGACCAGCCAAACUGGGACUGAGACACGGACCAGACGCCUACGGGAGGCAGCAGUGGGGAAUGUGGGGCAAUGGGGGAAACCCUGAGCCAGCCAUCCCGCGUGUGUGAUGAAGGCCUUCGGGUUGUAAAACACUUUUGGCAGGAAAGCGGUACCUGCAGAGUAAGCACCGGCUAACUACGUGCCAGCAGCCGCGGUAAUUC
rnacentral:rRNA from 1 species